rnacentral:rRNA from 1 species
UUAAAUUGAAGAGUUUGAUCAUGGCUCAGAUUGAACGCUGGCGGCAGGCCUAACACAUGCAAGUCGAACGGUAACAGGAAGCAGCUUGCUGCUUUGCUGACGAGUGGCGGACGGGUGAGUAAUGUCUGGGAAACUGCCCGAUGGAGGGGGAUAACUACUGGAAACGGUGGCUAAUACCGCAUAACGUCGCAAGACCAAAGAGGGG